rnacentral:rRNA from 1 species
GCCUACGGCCAUACCCCCCCUGAGAACGCCCGAUCUCGUCUGAUCUCGGAAGCUAAGCAGGGUCGGGCCCGGUUAGUACUUGGAUGGGAGACCGCCUGGGAAUACCGGGUGCUGUAGGCA